UGUAAGCGUAUACCAAAGUUGUUGCAGUUAAAACGCCCGUAGUCGGAAUUUGGCAGUUCCGGAUGUGUGCACGUCGUGUGCGCACUUCGCGGGGAUUGCUUUUGUGGUCUUGCGUAGGAUGAGGCACUUUUAUUAGUGAACGUCCUCACGCAACCACUUUUUACUGUGAGAAAAUCAGAGUGCUCAAAGCAGGCAUUUGCCGUGAAUGUAUUAGCAUGGAAUAAUAGAAUAGGACUUGGUUCUAUUUUGUUGGUUUGUUGGGACUGAGUAAUGAUUAAGAGGGACAGUUGGGGGCAUUUGUAUUUCGGUGCUAGAGGUGAAAUUCUUAGAUUACCGAAAGACAAACCGCUGCGAAAGCGUCUGCCAAGGAUGUUUUCAUUGA
rnacentral:rRNA from 1 species